rnacentral:rRNA from 1 species
CUGACGGAGCAACGCCGCGUGAGUGAUGAAGGUUUUCGGAUCGUAAAACUCUGUUGUUAGGGAAGAACAAGUACCGUUCGAAUAGGGCGGUACCUUGACGGUACCUAACCAGAAAGCCACGGCUAACUACGUGCCAGCAGCCGCGGUAAUACGUAGGUGGCAAGCGUUGUCCGGAAUUAUUGGGCGUAAAGCGCGCGCAGGCGGUUUCUUAAGUCUGAUGUGAAAGCCCCCGGCUCAACCGGGGAGGGUCAUUGGAAACUGGGGAACUUGAGUGCAGAAGAGGAGAGUGGAAUUCCACGUGUAGCGGUGAAAUGCGUAGAGAUGUGGAGGAACACCAGUGGCGAAGGCGACUCUCUGGUCUGUAACUGACGCUGAGGCGCGAAAGCGUGGGGAGCGAACAGGAUUAGAUACCCUGGUAGUCCACGCCGUAAACGAUGAGUGCUAAGUGUUAGAGGGUUUCCGCCCUUUAGUGCUGCAGCAAACGCAUUAAGCACUCCGCCUGGGGAGUACGGUCGCAAGACUGAAACUCAAAGGAAUUGACGGGGGCCCGCACAAGCGGUGGAGCAUGUGGUUUAAUUCGAAGCAACGCGAAGAACCUUACCAGGUCUUGACAUCCUCUGACAACCCUAGAGAUAGGGCUUCCCCUUCGGGGGCAGAGUGACAGGUGGUGCAUGGUUGUCGUCAGCUCGUGUCGUGAGAUGUUGGGUUAAGUCCCGCAACGAGCGCAACCCUUGAUCUUAGUUGCCA